ensembl:snoRNA
CUGUGUCCACUGAUAGAAUAAUUUGCUGUUUUUCUUUUGGUUUAUACUAGGAAGUAAAAGAAAAUAAUCCCUGUGCUUUCUGUCUUUGUGGCAACCCAGACUGAACUGGGGAAUUCAGCU